CAGGGGGCUCGGUGCCGCCUCCCCAGCCCGCCAUCCUCCCGACCGAACCCGCCGCCUCCAUCGCGACCGCCCCAACACGCCCCCGGUUCUACCCGCUGAUCCAUCCCGCCUCCUUCCAUUCCUUCCUCCCUUCCUUCCUUCCCCUCACCUCCUCUCCUGCCGAGGGGUUCCAGCGGCUCCGAACGCCCGGUAAUUCCCUGCGGAGCCGGGGGGAAGCGCUGAGGCGGGAGGCGCUGAGGCGGGAAGGGCUGAGGGGGGCGGCGCUGAGGGCACGGCGGGGCCGGAAGUUGAACUUAUUUUUCAGGGGGAAAAAAAAACCAACCAAACAACUCUCACCCUCCCAAAAAAAAAAAAAAAGAAAAAAAAACGGCAAAAAGGUAAAUUAUUUAUUGUGGUGAAUAAAUCGAAAGAAAUUUCGGAUUUUCAGCUGUGGGCAUCCGAAGGUGUCGCGCCCUCAGUCACGUCGGGGAUCAGACCGAGGGUCCGCGGGCUCGGGCGUCGGGCAAAAUAAUUUUCGCCCCCAAGGGAGCACUUCGAAGAAUAAAAUACACCAAGGGUGACGAGGAGGACUCCAGAAGGCUUGUGCACAAACCCACAGGAGGGAGAGCAGCUGAGGGUGCUGUGUGAUGUGCACAGUCCCUGUUACCUGCUGCAGGUACCUCAAGCCUUGAAGGGAUCCUUUUCAUUUAGAAUCCGUGUCUUCUCUUAAGUAAUUGAUCACCGCGCACCCGGGGACACCCAAUUCACAGCCGAGUGGGAUCAGCCUUCAUGAAUAAUCAAAACGCCGUGGCCGCGCUGCUGCAGGAGUGCGAGCGAGCCCUGGGCGCGCUCCUGUCGGCAAAGGCUGGCACGGGCGAGGAGGACGAGCGGGAAUACCGGCGGUGCCAAGCUCUGCUUCCUGAGGACUUGAGGACCCUUCUGGAGGAGGCAAAGGAAAUGAAGUGGCCCUUUGUGCCGGAGAAGUGGCAAUACAAACAAGACCUCGGCCCAGAAGACAAAACAAACCUGCAAGAUAUGAUCAGUGCGAGGCUCCCUGACUUACUGGUUUAUCUGAAGGCCUCCAUCGUGGCCGGGGACUGCGCCACAGCCGGUGCUGUCGUGUUCCUGAUCGACCGGUUCCUGUACUGGAUCGACGCCUCCGGCAAACUCCUGCGGAUCGCCAAGGGCCUGCACCGGCUGCAUCCCAGCGCUCCCGUCAGCCCGCAGGUGCUCAUCCGCCAGGCUCGCCUCGCCGCCAACACAGGUAAACUUUUAAAAGCUGAAUAUAUCCUAAGCAGCCUGAUUAAUGACAAUGGAGCAACGGGUACCUGGCGAUACGCGGAGCGAAGCGAUCGGAUCCUCGUUCAGGCAGUCUGCUUGCAGAUCAGGGGGCAGAUCCUGCAAAAGCUUGGGAUGUGGUAUGAGGCAGCAGAGUUGAUUUGGGCCUCUCUCGUGGGAUACUUCAAACUUCCUCAGCCAGAUAAGAAGGGAAUUGCCACUUCCCUGGGUUUUAUGGCAGACAUCUUUGCUUCCAUGAAUGAGCAGGAUUAUGCACGUUUUAAAACCAAUGCUGACAUAGACCUGAGCUUCCUCCAAGAGUCCGGCCACCGCUUGUUAUCCGCUGCUGAGGCCUGCAAGCUGGCAGCAGCCUACAGCCAGUACACCCCCCUGUUUGUCCUCACGGCCGUGAACAUCCGUGGGAUGUGUUUGCUGUCCUACAGUCACUCCAAGGACUGUCCCCCGGAAAAGAGAGAGUUCUACUUGUCUGAAGCCAAAGAAUCCUUCGAGAUCGGGCUCCUCACCAAGAAUGACCAGAGUCCCAUCACCAGCAAGCAGGAGCUCCACAGUUUUAUCAAAGCUGCCUUCUGCCUCGCCACCGUGCACCGGUGGCUCCGUGGGGAGAGCCGGGAGCUCCGUGAGGUGGGUCAGCUGUGCAGGGAAGCCUUGGGAAAACUGCAUUCGUACAGCACUUCCUUCCCAGAAGAGGAGGAGAAAGGAAAGCUUGCCAAGGAGAUCAUGUCCCUGAUCACAUCCGUGAAGAAGCGCCUGCGAGUGGAAAGCUUCCCCAAUUCCGAUGCCAGGUCUUAUGUCCCAGACAGUUACAAAGGCACAGUGGAAAAGCCUGCCCUGCGAAGGGAAACCAGCUUUGAGAAGAUCCUUGCCAGGCAUUCCCAGCAUCACCUGGCAGUGUGCCAAGUGUUUGAGAACACCUGCAGGGCUCAUAAAAUGCUGGGAGAAAUCCAGGUGGGACCUUGUAUCACAACCUUAAGGACAGAGACCAAAACCACAGACACUGCGUGUACUACUCAGGAAAUAGUGCAGGAUGGGAGAGGGGCUGCAAAAAUCCUGAGCUUGCCAACAGCAGGAAGCAGCUCAGAGAGACUUGGUGGCUGGAGAAAUCAAGACAUUUGUUCUGGUGUGAUGAAAAUUUCCUUGGAAGAAGAGACUGAGCCUUUAGGAAUGGAAAUAAGUGAUGAAAAUGGUGGUUUCGGCGCAGGGCAAAACAGGAGUCAAAGCACGACUUCAGAGAGCUCUUGGUGCAGGCUGUCAAAAUCCAGUUACUCUUCCAGCUGGGAGGAGCUAAACUGUAAUAGCAGCAGAGAGUCCCCCAGGGAAGGGCAGCAGCAGGAGAAGGGCUCAGCAGAGGAGCGAUGCUGCACCACAGAAUCUGAUGGAAACGGUCAAGCCACGUCCUUGUGCCCGUUGCCUCCCUGGAAUCCUGCUCCUCGGGAGCCUCUCCACAGCUUUGAGGGAUCUCCUCAGCCUUCCUCGGAGGGAGGUGCACCUCGAGCUGGGAGGAGGGUGGAGAAGGUGUCUCUUUGUGGAGAUGAACUGUGGGAGGGAAGACACUGUGGAAGGAGAUCUCCUCAAAAGAAAGCAAAGGACCUGAGUGAUGCGUUUCCUUCCCUCUCCACCUCUUACUCCCUUCCUACCAGGCUGGAGGAGGAGGAGAAGUCCUCCUCCUGUGCACAGCUGGGCUGCAGGACCAAGGACAGUGGCAGGGAGGGAGGCGGCUGCCGCUUUGAGAGGGUCCACCCAGGAGAACCCGCAGGAAGCACGGAGGAUCCCUCGUGUGAGACACAUCCCCCCCAAAACGGGGGUAAUUCUGCGCUGUCAAUGAUCACUGAGCCCAAAACAGGCAGCAGCUCCUCUGUGCAUGACUGGAUAAGGAAAUCUGCCACGGUGGGGGACAGACCCCGCCAAGUGCCUGAGGUUGACACCCAAGCAGAAACGAUUGAUGACACAGAGUUUGAUUUCCUCAGUGUUGGAGACUCAGUAAACAGUUAUCCUGCAGCACCUGCUCCAAAGCAUCAAGCAGCUCCCAGUGUGCCAACAGCUUUGCCCUCGCAGGGCAAGGUGUCCGUAAGCAAGCACUUUGACUGUGCCACUACAGAAGGAGAUGAGGAAAAGUCUCAGGACAUGGUGAGCAGCAGGGGACAAUCCAGUUCAUCUCUGAGUUCAUGGAUCAAAUCAGCACAGAUGCCCACGAGUUCCCCUGAGGUUCCUUUUCUGACCCCAGGGGAAAGUUUUGCCCUCACACCUGGGAGAACGAAGGAAGAAAUCCUGGACUCUCGAUUUCUGAGGGAUGACGAUUACAAGCAGCUUCUGGCAGAGGUGGAACAUAAUUGGCUUGUCCAGAGACUGAUGCCUACUGGGAUUUUUAGGACCAAAGAGCUUCGUAAAGCAUACUCUGCUCUUCUUUUAAAAUACUCCAAGAAAUCCGGCCUGUGGACGGGCCAAGAGACCGCCGUGUUCAUCGGGGACUACCUGAAUGUGGCAAAGGAAGGCAAGCAGAGAAGUGCCUUCUGGAUACACUUCCUGCACCAAGAAGAAAUCCUGGGAAGGUAUGUUGGGAAGGAAUAUAAGGAAGAAAAAGGGCUCCUCCAUCACUUCAGCGACGUGGAGCGACAAAUGACCGCCCAGUACUACGUGACAGAGUUCAACAAGAGGCUGUAUGAGCAAAAGAUCCCUACCCAAAUCUUUUAUAUCCCAUCUGCAGUACUCCUGAUACUGGAAGACAGAACUAUAAAAGGGUGUGUGAGUGUGGAGCCCUACAUCCUCGGGGAGUUUGUGAAGCUGUCCAACAACACCAAGGUAGUAAAGAAUGAGUACAAAGCCACGGAGUACGGUCUGGCUUACGGCCACUUCUGCUACGAGUUCUCCAGGGGAACAGAUGUCGUCGUGGACCUGCAGGGCUGGGUGACAGGGAACGGGAAGGGCCUCAUCUACCUCACAGACCCCCAGAUUCAUUCUCUGAAUAGCAGAGAUGUCUCCCGCUCCAACUUUGGGAAGAGAGGAAUUUAUUACUUCUUUAAUGACCAGCACGUGGAGUGCAACGAGAUCUGUCGCAGCCUGUCUUUGACAAGGCCCUCGGUGGAGCUGCUGGCAUAGGACUCUCACAGGUGUCCAUGUGAAAGGCAGAGAGUCUGGCUGGCUGUGUGCUCAGGCAUGAAAGUUCAGUACGUUUGAUACCGAGGGAACAACCGGAGGCCGCAAACCUCAGAUGCUGCUUUGUGCUGCCCAGGACCAGGCAGGCUAUUAGCAGCAAAUCCAGCGAGGGAAAUUAAUGAAGGCGACUACUAAUAAAAGACAGCUCAGGACAGCCCGACCAACUUGCUCCGAGCGGUAAUUAACUUUUUUUAAAACUCAUGAAGGUAAAUAUGCCGUCAGCUUUGGGCCGGGCUCUCUGCUUUUUAAUAAAAGGAGGAGGAGGGGGAGGCAAGGGGAAGGGGGUGGCUGCGUGUCACAGCCGCCCCAGCACCGUCCCUAUUCCCUCCCGGCCGCUGCAAAGUGACCCUCUGAGGAUUUCUUUUCUCUCCGAGCAAUUUCUAAAGGUUUUAUUUUAAAUCUGAGCACCACAAGGGUUCUACCUCUCCUUGAUCUGAGUCCUGUACAAGAGGUCACGGGGAUGAGCAGGAUGCCAGCAUUUUGCUGGACCUGCACAGCUGUUGCAGCAUCGUAGGCAGAAGGCAGGAUAUCCUGAUAUCCUAAUAUCCUGAUAUCCUAAUAUCCUGAUAGAUAUCCUUACGUUGUCAGAGCAAAAGAGUGUCUUAGGCCAUAACACACAAGACUUAGCCCUGUAGUAAGACAAGAACCUACACCAGGUUGCAACAAAAUUCCCACUGGGAUUUGUUUCUGCCAGAGGAUUGACUGUAUAAGAGAUAACUGAGAUUAUUUUUUUGCCCGUGGGGAGCGGGAAUUGGGGCUGCAUGGGCCAAAUCCACACAUAAUCCGGGACAAGGGUGAAGCCCAACCUGAGGCACCUGAAUAAGGCUUUAGGAAAACUGGGCUUGGGAUCUGCCAGCCACUUGAGGGCUGUGUUGGGAACAGUGUUUAAUGAUGACACUACGUGGAGAGAUUGAUGCCUGACAUGAAAGCGAGCGUGGCAGCCCUUGGGGUGCGGCUGGGACCGCUUUGGCUCCUCGGCGCUAUUCUUAUGCCAAGGAGGGGCUGUAAAACCCCCUCGGGGGCUUUCGUGCUGCCCCUCCAGCCCUGACAGUGCGGAGGAGCUUUUAUGCCAAAAUACAAUACACAGAAGGAUCAUAAACACAUGUUCUGGGGGCAAGGGGCUGCCAUGGAAACCACUCCCAGGUUUGUUUCGUCAUCCAAGGAGGUGAGUUUCUGUCUUGAGUCUCCUGGGCCGCUUCCAGGUUGGCUGUAAUUGGCUCUGGGGACCGGCCAUCACCUCCAAAAACCAGUGUUCUGAGAGAAAAGAGGAAAAUACGAGAAAAAAAAAGAAGGAAAGAGAGGAAUAAACUGAAGUUAAGAGGGAAGAAAGAGGGGAAUAAAUGCUUUCGGCCACAUUCAAAUGAAAAACUGGGAUGAGGGUGACUGGCUUAGGUGGCAAAUCCAGCCUCUCUGGCUCAGCCUUUGCCAACACAGCCCUGUCUCCCCCUCCCUGCCUUGCCCCCCUUGGGCCUGUCUCUUCCAAGGGCAUCUCCAGCUGAGCCCAGCCUUCUGCAGGGAGGUUUGGCUGGCAGGACUCCCACCCCAAACCCCUCUCCAAAGCCCCCCUCCGUCCUCCGACGCGACGUGUGCUUUUUCCCACGGCGGUUCCCAUCGCCACAGCCCCAGCAGGAUGGGGAUGCUCCUGUCUGUACCUGGGAUGGAGGAAAAUCCCUCCAGGAUGACGCACCCGGUAAGAAGCAGCGUCCCUCCCCGAGGACAGCUGGAGGGAGCAUCCCAGUGCUGAGCCAGCCGGGAUGUCCCUCCCGCUCCUGCACGGCUCCACCACCGAGAGAGAAGUGCAUCCCAUCCAUCCUGGCCUUCUGAAGAGCUGAAGGCACCUACUCCAGCGCCUCUUAAAAGCGGGAGAGAAACCGGGAAGGACAAUGAGACCCGACCAGAAAAGACGGAGAGGGCGAGAGCGAGGCUCUCUCGGCUUCUUUUUGGCAUUCCUGGAGUUUAAUCAUUAAAAGGGGUCGUUAAAAGAGAGUGAGAGUGAAAAACCCGCUCCCGACGGGCUGCCCCACACACCGCCAGCGCCGUCAAAGGCUCCCUCUUGUUUUGUUCCUCCUGGCCCGUGGCAGAUUUGGGGGGACACAGCUUCAUCUUGCUGGCCACAUCAAAGCGGUGAUUAUGCAAAUGCUCCCACUUUUUUUUUUCUUUUUUUUUUUCUUUUUUAGGGAAUUAUUUAUCACACAAUAACCCCCCUGCCAGGGGGGGAAACAAUAGAUCAGGCUAGAUAGCGCUGCUCGCCCGAGGCUGCGGGGCUGGGGGACCCCUGCGUGGUUUAUUGGCCUAACCUAAUUUCACUAAUUCUCUUUUCACACAUUUUGGGCUUUUUUUUUUUCUCUUCCCCCUCUGCCCCCCCCUCGCGGAUGUCGCUCCGAGGGCCGGGUUUUGAUCCGGAGGGCACCGGGCGGGAUUCACGCGCUGAGCAUUUUAUUUAAUUAAUACAUUCAGGCGCCUCUGCUGGUUUUUAAUGAUUUCCAGGUGUUUGUACCCAGAAGUCACAAAGUGCUCCCGGGCGCACGGGCACGAUGAUUGAAGGGCCUGGGCGGCCUCCAGCAUCCCCCUCCAUGGUGACAUCCCUGGCCCUGUGCUGUGCACACUGAACCGAACCCCCAGGAAUUGCAAGUGCCUCGGGAUUCAUCCGUCCCUCAGAGAGGCAGAGAAAGGGAAUUCUUCCUCUUUUGCAGCCCAAUCAUUUUUUCAUCAGUAACAUUUAUUUCCUGUGGCCUUCUCGGUGAAAUCCUUCGGGCCGAAGAAGCGUGAUAACUGUUUAUCUAUUCAUCCAUCCAUCCAUCCAACCAUCCAUCCAUCCAUUCAUCCCACGUUUGCUGUCAGCAUCUUCUGUACCAAGAGGCAAAGGUAAAUGAUCAGUAAACUUCCACUGAACUCAUAUAUAUAUAUAUAUUUAAAAAUAUAUGUAUAUAUACAUAUAUAAUGGGUUUUUUUGCAGGUCCUGAAGCAGCUGUUGCCUGUGGACCUGCUGUAAGUGGCAUCAGCUCCCACCAGACCCUGGUUUCAUCAGAGACAAGGACAGGCCCAAUCCCGUAAU